AUCAAUGAUGAGAACCUGGAAUAUGAAGUGCCGUCAGAUGCGACAACUGAUGAUAAUGUUCUAAUCCUCUUUUCUGAGA
ensembl:snoRNA SNORD49A small nucleolar RNA SNORD49